CUUUGUGUAUUUCUCGCGCAAAAGACAGAGGUAGCCAUUUUUCCACCCGGUCUUACUGAAAAAAUCUCUGUUCCGGUUGGUAUAUUAUCGAAUAGAUAUUUGAAAAACACCUUGAGGAUUGAUUAUAAACAACGUUUGCCAUGUUUCUGUCAAUAUUAUGGAGCUAAUUUGGAAUAUUUUUCGGUGUUGUUGUGACCACAAUUUCCGGUCGUUUUCUCAGCCAAACGUGAAGAACUAAAGGAGCUAUUUUUGGCUACAAAAAUAUUUUUUCUGGAAAAAAGGAACAUUUGCUAUCUAACUGGGAGUCUCGUGAGAGAAAACAUCUGAAGCUCAUCAAAGUUUUUCGUUAAAUCCAAUUAAGGCGAGGAAAGUGCUUUGUGGCUCCACUCCACCCUCAUUAUGCAUGGGGCUCUUUAGGAGGAAAGGCUCAAGGAUUCCUGUGAGUUGGUGUGAAUAAUUACAAACUGCUGGGAGGGAGGGAGCAGAGGAACAGAACACAGGCCAGAUGUGCUGAUCCAUCUACAACACCAACAGCGUCGAGUGCUCUCAUCUGCCGGAUAGCUCAGCCAGGGAUUCACCAGCCUCUCUUCUUAUUGCUCCUGAGAUCCUCUUUUCUAUCCUUCCCCAUUCUCUCUUCUUCUCCCCCUCUUCCUCCUCUUCUCUCCUUUCUCCUUUUCUUCUCUCCUCUUCUCACCUCCUCCACGGUAGAGGAAGGCAGCCAGUCUCGGAAGGAGGGCUUGAAGAGGGAGACUGCGAAAGUCCAGGCACUGCUGCUCCCUUUGUCCUGAGUGUUUGCAGUGCUAGUGUUUGCCCAGUAUGACAACAUGACAAUAACAGUACCUGUAGAUAAUGUAAUGAAAAGUUGGAGGAUGGUUGGUAAUGGGGGGCAUCAGGUGGAUCCACGUCUGGGUGGUAGGUAGAACCCCUACGUCCUGGAGAACAGGAGCAGAGUUAAAGGGAACAGGUUAGGAGACAGAGACGUAAACGAGCAAACAUACAGGUUACAGGUUGAUCAGGUAUGUGAAAAUAUAAUUAUUGAUUGAUUUAACUUAAAAUAAAUGUUCGAUUAGAC
ensembl:lncRNA